UGAUAGGCUCGCGUUAGCGAUGGCAGCGGCAUCCUUUUUGUCCACUUACAUUUAGAAAGUUGAUGCUUGCUUAAAAAUCCUAUACAGUUUUUAGUUGCUGAAAAUGAAUAAAUUAAGCCCAAAAAGAUACAGCGAAAAGCGCGGUCAUCU
rnacentral:sRNA from 1 species